UACGUAGGGUGCAAGCGUUGUCCGGAAUUAUUGGGCGUAAAGAGCUCGUAGGCGGUUUGUCGCGUCGAAUGUGAAAACCCGGGGCUCAACCCCGGGCCUGCAUUCGAUACGGGCAGACUAGAGUUCGGUAGGGGAGUCUGGAAUUCCUGGUGUAGCGGUGAAAUGCGCAGAUAUCAGGAGGAACACCGGCGGCGAAGGCGGGACUCUGGGCCGAUACUGACGCUGAGGAGCGAAAGCGUGGGGAGCAAACAGG
rnacentral:rRNA from 1 species